rnacentral:rRNA from 1 species
GGGUUGUGAGGUUAAGCGACUAAGCGUACACGGUGGAUGCCCUGGCAGUCAGAGGCGAUGAAGGGCGUGCUAAUCUGCGAUAAGCGCCGGUAAGGUGAUAUGAACCGUUAUAACCGGCGAUACCCGAAUGGGGAAACCCAGUGUGAUUCGUCACACUAUCAUUAACUGAAUCCAUAGGUUAAUGAGGCGAACCGGGGGAACUGAAACAUCUAAGUACCCCGAGGAAAAGAAAUCAACCGAGAUUCCCCCAGUAGCGGCGAGCGAACGGGGAGGAGCCCAGAGCCUGAAUCAGCAUGUGUGUUAGUGGAAGCGUCUGGAAAGGCGCGCGAUACAGGGUGACAGCCCCGUACACAAAAGCGCAUGUGCUGUGAGCUCGAUGAGUAGGGCGGGACACGUGGUAUCCUGUCUGAAUAUGGGGGGACCAUCCUCCAAGGCUAAAUACUCCUGACUGACCGAUAGUGAACCAGUACCGUGAGGGAAAGGCGAAAAGAACCCCGGCGAGGGGAGUGAAAAAGAACCUGAAACCGUGUACGUACAAGCAGUGGGAGCNNGUGACUGCGUACCUUUUGUAUAAUGGGUCAGCGACUUAUAUUCUGUAGCAAGGUUAACCGAAUAGGGGAGCCGGAGGGAAACCGAGUCUUAAUUGGGCGUUAAGUUGCAGGGUAUAGACCCGAAACCCGGUGAUCUAGCCAUGGGCAGGUUGAAGGUUGGGUAACACUAACUGGAGGACCGAACCGACUAAUGUUGAAAAAUUAGCGGAUGACCUGUGGCUGGGGGUGAAAGGCCAAUCAAACCGGGAGAUAGCUGGUUCUCCCCGAAAGCUAUUUAGGUAGCGCCUCGUGAAUUCAUCUCCGGGGGUAGAGCACUGUUUCGGCUAGGGGGCCAUCCCGGCUUACCAACCCGAUGCAAACUGCGAAUACCGGAGAAUGUUAUCACGGGAGACACACGGCGGGUGCUAACGUCCGUCGUGAAGAGGGAAACAACCCAGACCGCCAGCUAAGGUCCCAAAGUCAUGGUUAAGUGGGAAACGAUGUGGGAAGGCCCAGACAGCCAGGAUGUUGGCUUAGAAGCAGCCAUCAUUUAAAGAAAGCGUAAUAGCUCACUGGUCGAGUCGGCCUGCGCGGAAGAUGUAACGGGGCUAAACCAUGCACCGAAGCUGCGGCAGCGANNGUUGGGUAGGGGAGCGUUCUGUAAGCCUGUGAAGGUGUGUCGUGAGGCAUGCUGGAGGUAUCAGAAGUGCGAAUGCUGACAUAAGUAACGAUAAAGCGGGUGAAAAGCCCGCUCGCCGGAAGACCAAGGGUUCCUGUCCAACGUUAAUCGGGGCAGGGUGAGUCGACCCCUAAGGCGAGGCCGAAAGGCGUAGUCGAUGGGAAACGGGUUAAUAUUCCCGUACUUGGUGUUACUGCGAAGGGGGGACGGAGAAGGCUAUGUUGGCCGGGCGACGGUUGUCCCGGUUUAAGCGUGUAGGUGUGUGUUCCAGGUAAAUCCGGUUCACUUUAACACUGAGGCGUGAUGACGAGGCACUACGGUGCUGAAGUAACAAAUGCCCUGCUUCCAGGAAAAGCCUCUAAGCAUCAGGUAACAUCAAAUCGUACCCCAAACCGACACAGGUGGUCAGGUAGAGAAUACCAAGGCGCUUGAGAGAACUCGGGUGAAGGAACUAGGCAAAAUGGUGCCGUAACUUCGGGAGAAGGCACGCUGACACGUAGGUGAAGUGAUUUACUCAUGGAGCUGAAGUCAGUCGAAGAUACCAGCUGGCUGCAACUGUUUAUUAAAAACACAGCACUGUGCAAACACGAAAGUGGACGUAUACGGUGUGACGCCUGCCCGGUGCCGGAAGGUUAAUUGAUGGGGUCAGCGCAAGCGAAGCUCCUGAUCGAAGCCCCGGUAAACGGCGGCCGUAACUAUAACGGUCCUAAGGUAGCGAAAUUCCUUGUCGGGUAAGUUCCGACCUGCACGAAUGGCGUAAUGAUGGCCAGGCUGUCUCCACCCGAGACUCAGUGAAAUUGAACUCGCUGUGAAGAUGCAGUGUACCCGCGGCAAGACGGAAAGACCCCGUGAACCUUUACUAUAGCUUGACACUGAACAUUGAGCCUUGAUGUGUAGGAUAGGUGGGAGGCUUUGAAGUGUGGACGCCAGUCUGCAUGGAGCCGACCUUGAAAUACCACCCUUUAAUGUUUGAUGUUCUAACGUGGACCCGUUACCCGGGUUGCGGACAGUGUCUGGUGGGUAGUUUGACUGGGGCGGUCUCCUCCUAAAGAGUAACGGAGGAGCACGAAGGUUGGCUAAUCCUGGUCGGACAUCAGGAGGUUAGUGCAAUGGCAUAAGCCAGCUUGACUGCGAGCGUGACGGCGCGAGCAGGUGCGAAAGCAGGUCAUAGUGAUCCGGUGGUUCUGAAUGGAAGGGCCAUCGCUCAACGGAUAAAAGGUACUCCGGGGAUAACAGGCUGAUACCGCCCAAGAGUUCAUAUCGACGGCGGUGUUUGGCACCUCGAUGUCGGCUCAUCACAUCCUGGGGCUGAAGUAGGUCCCAAGGGUAUGGCUGUUCGCCAUUUAAAGUGGUACGCGAGCUGGGUUUAGAACGUCGUGAGACAGUUCGGUCCCUAUCUGCCGUGGGCGCUGGAGAACUGAGGGGGGCUGCUCCUAGUACGAGAGGACCGGAGUGGACGCAUCACUGGUGUUCGGGUUGUCAUGCCAAUGGCACUGCCCGGUAGCUAAAUGCGGAAGAGAUAAGUGCUGAAAGCAUCUAAGCACGAAACUUGCCCCGAGAUGAGUUCUCCCUGAGACUUAAAGUCUCCUGAAGGAACGUUGAAGACGACGACGUUGAUAGGCCGGGUGUGUAAGCGCAGCGAUGCGUUGAGCUAACCGGUACUAAUGAACCGUGAGGCUUAACCUUACAACGCCGAAG